rnacentral:pre_miRNA from 1 species
UAUAUACUCCCUCCGUUCCGAAUUACUUGUCGCAGAAAUGGAUGUAUCUAGAACUAAAAAAUGUCUAGAUACAUCCAUUUCUACGACAAGUAAUUCCAAACGGAGGGAGUACUUG